ACUAUUUUGACAGAAAUAAUGUGAUGGUUUUAGAAAUCAGAAAUAUAUAAAUGAAUUAAUUAUAUAGAUAGUAA
rnacentral:tRNA from 1 species